GGAAAACAGCCUUCCUGGUGCCCAAGGUUCUCAGUCUUGGCUGUUCUUGUUAGUCUGUCUACUGGCAUAGUGACGCUGAGGCUUGUGGAGCAUGACUGCUGUACCAGGUCUAGGAUGAGCUUUUCAAAGCCCAGCCACAGCCUUUCACAUGCACACUCACAGAUAAGGACAGAGAGGACACCAAUAGCCAGGAAAUCACAUGGUGCAGCACAGGCCAAAAUGGGAGUUGUGAGCUCUGCGUCUGCUGCCUGACGGCAGGACCUUUUGCCCCUGCCCAUCCCCAGGAUAUUGCUGGGAAAGUACUUCUUUGGAGCACCUUGCAGUGGUUCCUGUGAACUAGGUGGAAUGUCUGGAAGGACCUCAGACUUAUUCUGUGCCGAGCCUUGUGGGGCCACCCCUACCACCAUCUCUUUCUCCUCUCCGGUGGUUUCUGGACCUUCAAGGGCCCCUGGCCUGUGCCCAGGGCCUGCGUCUCAGAGCCCAGAGCUGAGCCCCUUUGCCAUCUGGUUUCUCAGGAGUGCUCCAAGGCCCACAGAUCCCUGACAGACCCCAGUGUUUCCAGAACCUGCCCAGGGUUCCCCUGCCAGUUAGAAUUCGAGCCAGAACUUCUUAGAGCCAAUCCUUCCAGCUUCCAAGUCAGAGUCUGAGAUGAGCCAGAGGAAGCCCACCCAGGAGCCCUGAGUCCCAGUGAUCGUCAGAAGCCCACCCCAUACCCAGUCACUCCUAGAGACUCUCUGGCUGGGCUCAUACUGGGCACUUGGUGUCCUUGCAAGAGGAGCUGGCUCCUUCCUCCUCAGAGGAAAUGAAGGAUGCAGGGGGUUCAUUAAGCAGGGUGCUCAGCUGUCCCUGUGGGCAGCAGGCUGAGAUCC
rnacentral:lncRNA from 1 species